rnacentral:rRNA from 1 species
CCUACGGGGGGCAGCAGUGAGGAAUAUUGGUCAAUGGACGAGAGUCUGAACCAGCCAAGUAGCGUGAAUGAUGCCUGCCCUAUGGGUUGUAAACUUCUUUUAUAUGGGAAUAAAACGUUCCACGUGUGGGAUUUUGUAUGUACCCUAUGAAUAAGGAUCGGCUAAAUCCGUGCCAGCAGCCGCGGUAAUACGGAGGAUCCGAGCGUUAUCCGGAUUUAUUGGGUUUAAGGGGAACGUAGGUGGUGUGUUAAGUCAGUUGGGAAAGUUUGCGGCUCAACCCGAAAAUUGCAGCUGAAACUGGCAGGCUUGAGUACAGUAGAGGUGGGCGGAAUUCGUGGUGUAGCGGUGAAAUGCUUAGAUAUUACGAAGAACUCCGAUGGCGAAGGCAGCUCACUGGACUGCAACUGACGCUGAGGCUCGAAAGUGUGGGUAUCAAACAGGAGUAGAUACCCUUGUAGUC